UACGAAGGGGGCUAGCGUUGCUCGGAAUGACUGGGCGUAAAGGGCGCGUAGGCGGAUGGUACAGUCAGAUGUGAAAUUCCUGGGCUUAACCUGGGGGCUGCAUUUGAUACGUGUUGUCUAGAGUGAGGAAGAGGGUCGUGGAAUUCCCAGUGUAGAGGUGAAAUUCGUAGAUAUUGGGAAGAACACCGGUGGCGAAGGCGGCGACCUGGUCCUUUACUGACGCUGAGGCGCGAAAGCGUGGGGAGCAAACAGG
rnacentral:rRNA from 1 species